GAUGAACGCUGGCGGCGUGCUUAACACAUGCAAGUCGAACGGAAAGGCCCAAGCUUGCUUGGGUACUCGAGUGGCGAACGGGUGAGUAACACGUGGGUGAUCUGCCCUGCACUUCGGGAUAAGCCUGGGAAACUGGGUCUAAUACCGGAUAGGACCACAUUUUGGAUGGUGUGGUGGAAAGUUUUUCGGUGUGGGAUGAGCUCGCGGCCUAUCAGCUUGUUGGUGGGGUAAUGGCCUACCAAGGCGUCGACGGGUAGCCGGCCUGAGAGGGUGUACGGCCACAUUGGGACUGAGAUACAGCGCAGACUCCUACGGGGGGCAGCAGUGGGGAAUAUUGCACAAUGGGCGCAAGCCUGAUGCAGCGACGCCGCGUGGGGGAUGACGGCCUUCGGGUUGUAAACUCCUUUCGCUAGGGACGAAGCGUUUUUGUGACGGUACCUGGAGAAGAAGCACCGGCUAACUACGUG
rnacentral:rRNA from 1 species